GAGGUGGGAGGAUCACUUGAGCCCAGAAGGUUGAGGCUGCAGUGAACUGUGAUCAUGUCACUGCACUCCAGCCUGAGUGACAGAGCAAGACCCUGUCUCA
ensembl:miRNA